rnacentral:lncRNA from 1 species
AUCCCAGCCUUCAAGGAUCUUACAUUCCUACUGGGGAGACAACAUAUAUAUAUAUAUAUAUAUAUAUAUAUAUUAGUGAUAGGAACAGACCUAUAAUUUCAUUGGUAUCGCCUAUACCAAACAGGGGUCCCCAAACUUUUUAAACAGGGGGCCAGUUCACUGUCCCUCAGACCAUUGGAGGGCCAGACUAUAAAAACCUAACCUAACCAGGCAGCAAUAUACACAGUGUGGAAUCCCCUCCCCCAGAUCACUGCUCACCAUGCUGAUGUCUUCCAUUGUGCCGCCACAUAAUCUUUUGCACUGGCGCCUCGUUCUAAGGAUCCACGCAAAGGAUUAUGUCACCGGAAGUAGUACUGUACAGGAGCAACACAGUGCUUUGCGGAGCAGCCACCUACAGUGCUCCUCUCAUGGACCACCAGUGAAAGAGUUUAUGGAAGUUAAGGAAGUUAAUGGAUUGGGAGUCCAACGUAUUAGAGGAGUCACCAACAGGCACAAUGAUGUCUCUAAAUAUGAGGUCAUGAAGAAUACCUUGAUCCACUGAAUUCCUUUAGAAAGGAGGGAAAAUGACGCAAAGGAUGGGAGAUGACAGUAACAAAAUAGACAAUAUAGAUGAAUGAUGAAGAGGGCUACAUAUUGAUGGUGGCAGGUGGAGCAUGAUAGUCACGAGCAAUUUAUAUUCCUUCUUCUCCUGAGAUAAUAUAUUGGGACACAAGACAAAAGUAGCCAUUUACCCCAGAGAGACCUAGAUGUCCAAAAGGAACCCAAGUUGAAGAGAUUUUGGAUAUAGGGUGAAUUAGAGCAAUGUUCCAGAGGGCAUGGUGCAAUCACAGGUCAAUGAGAACCAGGGUAAGCAGAUGGCUUCAAUGACUGGGAGGAAAGGACUUUUGCCCUAACCAAUGACUCUGAAUCACUGGAAUUAGGGGAGUAAACAGUGGGAAUUUGCCAGCUGCAGGAACCGCUGGAAUGGGGGCUCUACUCUCUUGGUUCCUAUGAUAACUGAACACUGUGUGGUUGUAUGGGUAGUACAGUCAGGCCCCAAACACCAUAGAGAUGGAGGUGGAAUCAAGCAGCUAGCUUCUUGAGAAGGGUCUGGAUUGCUAAAAACCUGGUGACUGGGGCCACAGGGCAGGAUUGACUUCAUUCUUGGCACCAACUAUAUAACUUGAUCUCAGAAUGUGUGUGUUGGAGAAGGUGGGGAGUGGAUGUGAUGUGGCACACAGAGCAGACACACAGAACAUUAAGUGUGCUCUUGUCCUGGGUCCCUGCUCUAUGGAGAUUUGGAGUUCCUGGCAGGAAAGACCCUUUAGUAACUGG